UAAAAAAAAUUCGCAUUAUUUCUGCAAUGAUAAAAAUAUUACAAUUCGGUUUUUUCGAGAACUAAAUAUUUAUUUAGCCUACAAAUAAAUAAGAUAAAAACCUUAAAAAAAAGAAGAAUAAUACACUACCAGCAAAGUUAGUGGAUGGGAAUAAAAAAAAUGUUUUAAUUUUCAAACGAGGCCUGUAUGGUUGAAACAUUAAUUACACUUUACCUUAAGUUAAGUGAGAAAACGGGUUUGCACUGAAUAACUUGUUAUUAUUGUUAAAUCUGUUUUUGAAUUUUAAAGUAACCAUCUUGGUUUUAAUUAUAGCUUUACUUCCUUGAGGCGAUCGUAACCUUACUUCCUUGUGGCAAAUUCUUAGCAAUUUUUGCAAAAACCAAAAGCAUAAUUUAAUAUUUUUAUAAUCCUAUAUAAAGGAGAUUGUUUUCUAUCAAAUAAUUACAUGAAAACAAAGUAAAAGAAAACUAACUUUUAUGAGAAUGCUUACUAAAAAACAGAAAACUAUUAUGUUAUGGCUAAUUUCAUUUUGCAUUAACUGUUAUGGCUAAUUUCAUUUUGCAAAACAAAGAGAAAAUGAUCGGUUCUCUUUCACCAUUAUGCAACAAUCAAGAUAAAAAAAAAAAUGGCAAGAAGUUAGAAAUCUUAUUAUAGCUCACGGUCUUUCUUCCACUGCAAGAUCGAUUGCCCAGAAUAUACCAGCUCUAUCUACAAGUACUAAACGUUCUGCAUCUUUAAGUAAAAUUGUUUAGUCUUUGACAAAACGACCGGCAUCAUCGUCAUCUAACGUCUUUUCGGAUAAUGAGUACGGCACAUUAAAGAAAGCCAAAAUCAAGCAGAAACUGGAUAUGUUAAAUAAAGAGGCUGAGUACAGAGCUGAACGUCAUCUGAUGGAGAAAAUUCGGUUUAAGGCGAAUAUUGAAAAAGUUAUUCUUGAGCAACAACUUCUCCGAGCUCAAAUCCAGUCUUUAACUCCUCAAGACGCCCAAACAUCCGAACCAAAUACUUUCAGUUUUAAUAAAUCAUAAAAACUUCUAUA